UCAGCCUCCCUUCUCUUCCUCUCAGCCGAUGAAACCAGAUGAGUUUCUGCUCUCCUCUCUUCUCUUCCUCUCAACCUAUGAACCAGAUCGAGUUUGAUGAAUCAGUUUCGAUUCAGUUUCUCAUCAUCUAUAAUAGAAUUUUUAGGGCUUCAUAAAUCGAUUUUAGGGUUUCAGUCUGUAUAAUGAUUCAUUUUCGAUUUUAGUUUGUUCGUCGGAGUUCGAACUUGGAAGAACUGAUCUUCACUCUUAGCUAAUCGUGAGAAAGCAGCUGUUCUACUUUGUUUAAUUUAGAUGGGAAUGAAGUUGAUAAGUUGACCGAGAAGCUACAAGGGGUUGGGAUUGCUUCUGCUAGUGCUGAUGGUGUCGUCCUUAACAACUUCUAAAGGUGAAUGAUACUGUGGGAACAUUAGCCCUUGGACAUUUUCAUGACGGAGACACUCUAGCAGCAGUGACAAUUGGAACUGGUACUAAUGCUUGGUAUGUGGAGCGAACAGAUCCAAUAAUCAAGACUCAGGGCCUUCUUACAAAUUCAGGAGGCAUGGACCAAAGAUAGUGCCAACAUAUGAAGCUUCAUCUUACCUAAUUGCAGUUAACUAGUAAUUUAUCAGGAAUGUGGUGAAUCUGAUGACAUGGGGGCCGAAAUAUUAAUUGCCUGCAAAAUGUGUAAACCACCUGCCAAACACCGGAUUGCCUACAUCGAGUUUUCUGAUGCCCAAGCUUUCAACAAAGCAAGCCUGCAAAGGAUAUACUGAACUAGCAGUUGUUAUUUGGAUGUUGCUCUAUUUCAUCAGAAAGGGUGGAGAACAAAGGAGCUUCAAGAUUUGUAAGUUCCAUGUAUUCAAGUUUGUAUUUGUUCCCUUAGAAAUUUGGAACCUUCCAUGUAUUCCUUGAGAAAUUUGAUACUUGACAAAAAAAAAAAAAAGUUUGGUACUUAGAGAAAUUUCAGUUCUUUUGUUGUAUGAA